CAGGAAAGUCAGCCCAGGAGGCAGGCAGCUGUGUCCCUGAGUAUCAGGGGGCCUGCCUGGUAAGUCACAAUGAAACAGACAGUGGCCAGAUGACCCCUGGGCCCUAUCCAGCUCGAGGGGCUAGGGUCCACAUGCCUCUGAUGACCGAGCUCAGGGGCUAGAGGAGGGAAGGGAAAUGGCCCCCUAGUUCUCUUUUCAGUUGUCUAUUUCAGAUGGUCCUUAUGAAAGAGGAUCAGCAAAGUUUCCAUCAGAAAAUGAACCAAUAAUCAAGUGAAUGGGGCUUUCGUUUCCUGAAUUGUCUCUAGCCUGUGAGGCUGUGCUUCCAUAUGGAACUUCUGAGUUCUCUACCAACUCGAACAAUGAGUCAUGGGCGAGCCCAGGACUCCCACCCACUUGGAGUCAUGGGGCUCUGACAUGGAGACAAGACCACAGGGUUUCUGUCAGGCCAGAGCCCUGACCCCUCAGCUAAGAUGUUUCUUCUUUGUUCUAGAUUCAGUCAUAUAAGCAGAGGCAGCAGGUACUAGGCCUCAGAGUAAUAGUCCCUGAAGAAAAUAAAGAGAAAGUCUAUCUGAGAAAAGCCAGUUGUGCCAGUUAAAGAAUGACCUAUGGCCACAAUGCCUUACUGGAGGAUGCUUGGGAGCCCAUGUCCUCAUGUCUGUUGUAUCGGGUUAGGGAGAUCCUGGUGCAUUUCAGUGGGGAGAGGGUUGCUGCUGGUCGUGUUUUCACUUCCCCCAUCCACCAUUAGGAAUCAGCGGUAUUGUUAUAGUCUACCAGGACCGACCUGGUGCUGCUCAGAACCAGGGGCUCAAGGCAGGGCCUCCCUUCAUCUUCUUAAAUUAUUCUCUAGCAGCUCUGAGUCUCCCAAAGAUUGGUCCUAGAGAAAAGACUAUGUCAUUUACUGACGUACAGAAUAACUUUAGACUCAAAACCAAUCUGAUUAAAUCAGG
rnacentral:lncRNA from 1 species